rnacentral:rRNA from 1 species
ACUCAAAUGAAUUGACGGGGGCCCGCACAAGUGGUGGAGCAUGUGGUUUAAUUCGACGCUACGCGAAGAACCUUACCCGGGUUUGAAUUGCAGUGGUUGUAGUCGGUAGAGAUAUCGGCGACCCCGCAAGGGGGCUGCUGUGAAGGUGCUGCAUGGCUGUCGUCAGCUCGUGCCGUGAGGUGUUGGGUUAAGUCCCGCAACGAGCGCAACCCUUAUCUUUAGUUGCCAGCGCGUCAUGGCGGGCACUCUGGAGAGACUGCCGACACAAGUCGGAGGAAGGUGGGGAUGACGUCAAGUCAGCAUGGCCCUUACGUCCGGGGCUACACACGUGCUACAAUGGCCGGUACAACGGGCAGCGAGACCGCGAGGUGGAGCGAAUCCCUUUAAAGCCGGCCUCAGUUCGGAUUGCAGGCUGCAACUCGCCUGCAUGAAGUUGGAAUCACUAGUAACCGCAGAUCAGCUACGCUGUGGUGAAUACGUUCCCGGGCCUUGUACACACCGCCCGU